rnacentral:rRNA from 1 species
CCUACGGGGGGCAGCAGUGGGGGAUAUUGCACAAUGGGGGGAACCCUGAUGCAGCGACGCCGCGUGGGUGAAGGAGGGCCUCGGCAUGGAAAGUCCUAUCGGUAGGGAAGAAGCAAGACGGUACCUGACUAAGAAGCCCCGGCUAACUACGUGCCAGCAGCCGCGGUAAUACGUAGGGGGCGAGCGUUAUCCGGAUUCACUGGGUGUAAAGGGAGCGUAGACGGCCAAGCAAGCCGGGGGGGAAAGCGCGGGGCCCAACCCCGGGACUGCCCUUGGAACUGCAUGGCUGGAGUGCGGGAGGGGCAGGCGGAAUGCCGGGUGUAGCGGUGAAAUGCGUAGAUAUCAGGAGGAACACCGACGGCGAAGGCGGCCUGCUGGACCGCGACUGACGUUGAGGCUCGAAAGCGUGGGGAGCGAACAGGAUUAGAUACCCGGGUAGUC